rnacentral:rRNA from 1 species
AAAUGGACGUCUAUGUACGAAAUAUCGCAACGAGUUUAAAAUUUACUGAGAAUUGCGAUUUUCCAAACGGAAAACCUAAUUUUGAUAUAAAUCUGUUCUUAAUUUUAAAACAAAUUAAAACAAAAAUAAAUUUAGCAAAUUGAAACAUCUUAGUAGCUAAACCAAAAAUCAACCGAGAUACUGUUAGUAGUGGCGAACGAAUUCAGUAAAAAGCUUAUUCUUUUUAAACGUUAUUUAAUAAUAGCCAAAGAAGGAAACCUAUUUAAAGGUAGCCCUGUAAAAUAACAUUUAAAAAGUCUUGAUACAAAGUAAAAUGACACAAGUCGUGUGUUUUUUGAAUUAUAUGGGACCACCCAUAAAAGCUAAAACUUUUGAUAAUUGAUAGUGAAAACAGUACCGUGAGGGAAUGGUGAAAAAGUAUUUGCGAAUGUGAAAAAGUUUUGAAAUUUAAUGCUAAAUAUCAGUUGAGGCUUUUAAAUUUGAUUUUAAGAGUAACAGCAUACCUUUUGUAUAAGGGAUCAACAAGUUUAUUUUAGUAGCGAGCUUAAUUAAAAAAUAAAGUAGGCAAAAAGAAAUUGAGUUUUAAAAAUUGCUUUUUUAGUUUCUGAAAUAAAACCCGAAACUGUAGUGAUCUAACCAUGAACUGGUUGAAUUUUAAGCGGAAACGCUUUCUGGAGGACCGAACCCGUAUAUGUUGAAAAAUAUUGGGAUGAUUUGUGGUUAGGGGUGAAAGGCUAAUCAAACACAGAGAUAGCUGGUUUUCUGCGAAAUCUAUUUAAGUAGUUCGUUUAAAUUCUUUAUUUUAGGGUAGAGCUCUUUUUAAAUAAUGGGGAUGUAAAGUCUUACUGAAUUUAUUAAAACUUCGAAUUUUAAAAUAAAAGAUAUUUAAGCAGACAGACAUUGGGUGCUAAGGUCCAUUGUCAAAAGGGAAACAGCCCAGAUUAUUAAUUAAGGCCCUUAAAAACAAUUAAGUGAAAAAAUUAUUAAAAAAUUAUAACAACCGAUAGGUAGGCUUGGAAGCAGCCAUCCUUUAAAGAAAGCGUAACAGCUCACUGGUCUAAAUAAGACGUCCUGCGGCGAAGAUGUAACGGGGCUCAAGCCAUGAGCCGAAGCUUAGGAUGCACAUAGUGCAUGGUAGCAGAGCGUAGUGUGACAUAGCUUCAUGUCUCCUUAGUGUCCUAGGACACAUCGGAGACACGAAGCUUUCGAUGAAGCGGGCGCGUGAGCGAUCCCGUGGAGAGAUCACUAGCGAGAAUGAUGACAUGAGUAGCGACAAAGAGUGUGAGAAACACUCUCGCCGAAAGUCCAAGGGUUCCUGCUUAAAGCUAAUCUGAGCAGGGUAAGCCGGCCCCUAAGGCGAGGCCGAAAGGCGUAGCCGAUGGGAACUAGGUUAAUAUUCCUAGGCCAGGAGGAUGUGACGGAUUGUGAAGGUAGUUCAGACUUAUCGGAUUGUCUGGGCUGCUCAGCAGUCCCUGGAAAUAGCCCUCCAUCAGACCGUACCCUAAACCGACACAGGUGGACUGGUAGAGAAUACCAAGGCGCUUGAGAGAACGAUGUUGAAGGAACUCGGCAAAAUACCUCCGUAAGUUCGCGAGAAGGAGGCCCAGUUUCUACGCAAGUAUUGACUGGGGGCACAAACCAGGGGGUGGCGACUGUUUAUUAAAAACACAGGGCUCUGCGAAGUCGCAAGACGACGUAUAGGGUCUGACGCCUGCCCGGUGCUGGAAGGUUAAGAGGAGGAGUGCAAGCUCUGAAUUGAAGCCCCAGUAAACGGCGGCCGUAACUAUAACGGUCCUAAGGUAGCGAAAUUCCUUGUCGUGUAAGUUCCGACCUGCACGAAUGGCGUAACGACUUCCCCGCUGUCUCCAACAUCGACUCAGCGAAAUUGAAUUGCCUGUCAAGAUGCAGGCUUCCCGCGGUUAGACGGAAAGACCCCGUGCACCUUUACUACAGCUUCGCACUGGCAUCAGGAUUGUGAUGUGCAGGAUAGGUGGUAGGCAUCGAAGCCGGGACGCAAGUCCCGGUGGAGCCUCCCUUGAGAUACCACCCUUCGCACUCUUGAUGUCUAACCGCGGUCCGUUAUCCGGAUCCGGGACCCUGCGUGGCGGGUAGUUUGACUGGGGCGGUCGCCUCCUAAAGCGUAACGGAGGCGCGCGAAGGUUGGCUCAGAGCGGUCGGAAAUCGCUCGUUGAGUGCAAUGGCAGAAGCCAGCCUGACUGCGAGACUGACAAGUCGAGCAGAGACGAAAGUCGGCCAUAGUGAUCCGGUGGUCCCAAGUGGGAGGGCCAUCGCUCAACGGAUAAAAGGUACGCCGGGG